UAUUCUGUUCAUUAUUUUAACAUUUGGAUCUACAGAAUUUUUUUAACUGAAGCAUUAACAUUUUGGCCUUAUUAUAUAUGUACAUAAUUACUUUGUAAAUUGCUAAAAAAAUGCAAAAUUAUCAUUGGCUCAUUGCAUGCUCACAUCAUUUAUUAAUUGUCUGUAUAUAUUGAAAGGUUUCUUUGAACUAUCACAUUGAGACAAGGGAGCUCUGUCAUAAUUCAAUACUCAAAAACAAUUCGAUUAUAACUGUUAAAAGAAAAACGUCCCAUUUCUAAUAACUGAUAUCUAACAGACUAUAUAAGGUUUUGUUUACCAAAAGUUGAUCUGUUUUUACCUUUUUAGCUCACCUGACCACGAAGUGGUCAAGGUGAGGUAUAGUGAUGGGGCUAUGUCCGGCGUCCGUCGUCGUGCGUCGUCAACAAUUGGGUUGUUAACAGUCUAGCAGUCACAGUUUUGAUUGGAUCAUCAUCAAACUUUGUCAGAAUGUUUGUCUCAAUGAAAUACAGAUCAAGUUCGAAGAUGGGUUGUCUCGGGUCAAAAACUAGGUCACAGGAGCUAAAAAUAGAAAAAGCUUGUUAACACUCUAGGGGCUGCAGUUUUCAUCCAAAUAUUUUGGAAAUUUGUCAGGAAGGUUGUUUUGAUGAUUUCUAGGUCAAGUUCGAAGAUGGGUCAUGUCUGGUCAAAAACUAGGUCACAGGAGCUAAAAAUAGAAAAAGCUUGUUAACACUCUAAUGGUUGCAGUUUUCAUCCAAACAUUCUGGAAAUUUGUCAGAAAGGUUGUUUUGAUGAUUUCUAGGUCAAGUUCGAAGAUGGGUUAUCUCCGGUCAAAAACUAGGUCACAGGAGCUAAAAAUAGAAAAAGCUUGUUAACACUCUAGUGGCUGCAGUUUUGAUUAAAAUAUUCUGGAAAUUUGUAAGGAAGGUUGUUUUAAUGAUUUCUAGGUCAAGUUCGAAGAUGGGUAAUGUCUGGUCAAAAACUAGGUCACAGGAGCUAAAAAUAGAAAAAGCUUGUUAACACUCUAAUGGUUGCAGUUUUCAUCCAAACAUUCUGGAAAUUUGUCAGAAAGGUUGUUUUGAUGAUUUCUAGGUCAAGUUCGAAGAUGGGUCAUCUCAGGUCAAAAACUAGGUCACAGGAGCUAAAAAUAGAAAAAGCUUGUUUACACUCUAGUGGCUGCAGUUUUCAUCUAAAUAUUCUGGAAAUUUGUCAAGAAGGUUGUUUUGAUGAUAUCUAAGUCAAGUUGGAAGAUGGGUCAUCUCCGGUCAAAAACUAGGUCACAGGAGCUAAAAAUAGAAAAGCUUGUUAACACAUUAGGGGCUGCAGUUUUCAUCCAAAUAUUCUGGAAAUUUGUCAGGAAGGUUGUUUUGAUGAUUUCUAGGUCAAGUUCGAAGAUGGGUUAUCUCCGGUCAAAAACUAGGUCACAGGAGCUAAAAAUAGAAAAAGCUUGUUAACACUCUAGUGGCUGCAGUAUUGAUUCAAAUAUUCUGGAAAUUUGUCAGGAAGGUUGUUUUGAUGAUUUCUGGGUCAAGUUCGAAGAUGGGUCAUCUCAGGUCAAAAACUAGGUCACAGGAGCUAAAAAUAGAAAAAGCUUGUUUACACUCUAGUGGCUGCAGUUUUGAUUCAAAUAUUCUGGAAAUUUGUCAAGAAUGCUGUUUUGAUGUUUUCUGGGUCAAUUGCUAAGAUUGGUCAUGUCCGGUCAAAAACUAGGUCACAGGAGCUAAAAAUAGAAAAAUCUUUUUAACACUCUAGUGGCUGCAGUUUUAAUCCAAAUUUCCUGGAAAUUGGUCAGGAAGGUUGUUUUGAUGAUUUCUAUGUCAAGUUUGAAUAUGGGUCGUGUCCGGUCAAAAAUUAGGUCACAUUGCCCAAAUAUGGAAAAAUCUUUAUAACACACUAGAGGUCACAUGUUUGACUUAGUUGUCAUUAACUUGGUCAUGAUGCUUGUUUAAGACAUUGCUUGGAUGCGGUUGUGUCAGGUGAGCGAUCCAGGGCCAUCAUGGCCCUCUUGUAUUUAAUAAAAUUCAAGCAAUAGAAUGUUAUUAUUUUUUUACUUUUUGUUUAUGCUUAUCAAAAUAAUAUUUAUUGUUAGCGCUUUUUUAUGGAUUGCCAAAUAUUGCUUUCAGUAUUAUUUAAAUAAAAUUCACAUUUGUAACAGAUUAUUUUUAAAAAUAUACAGGUACUUUUUUCACACUUUAUAUAUGUAUAGGUUUGAUCCAUAACUGUGAUCUUAACAGUAGAUAUAAGGUUUUUAUUGGUUGUUAUAUUUUGCAGUAAUAUAUCUAUUAUAGAUUAUAAUUGUUUAUAUAGAAAACUUCUUUGAUAAUAAAUUAACUUUUGCUUCAAACCUAACUGUUACCAGGACAAACCUAGCUGUCACAAGUGCACACCUACAUGUAACCGUUACCAGGACAAACCUAGCUGUCACUGGUGCACACCUACAUGUAGCCGUUACCAGGACAAAUCUUGCUGGUUACCUAACUGUUACUAGGACAAACCUAACCCUUACUAGAACAAGCGUCAUUGUGACUAGGACAGACUUAAUUGUGACUAGGUCAAACGUAAUUGUGACUAGGUAAAACAUAAUUGUGACUAGGUCAAGCAUCAUUGUGACUAGUUCAAGCAUCAUUGUGACUAGGACAGACCUAAUUGUGACUAAGUCAGACCUAAUUUUUACUAUGACAAAGCUUCCUGACCAGGACAAAGUCUUCCACUCUAGUCAAAUAUUUACAUUUUGAUUGAUAGGUCAGAAUAGAAUGACAAAUGCAUGGCAUCUAGUAUAAUAUGAAUAGAUGAUAAUUAUGAUAAAAAUACAAGUUUUUGAAUCAA